GGAGAUGUACUCAAGUUGGUGAAGAGGCUCCCCUGCUAAGGGAGUAGGUCGGGAAACCGGCGCAAGAGUUCAAAUCUCUUCAUCUCCGCCA
rnacentral:tRNA from 1 species